rnacentral:lncRNA from 1 species
GUAGAACUGGAUGUUCAACCUUUGGUGGUGGACAUGGUUUCUUGACUGGAACAGGAGGAGGAAGAGGUUUAUGAUAUACAGGCGUAGGUGGAGGGAGAGGUUUAUGAUAAACAGGCACAGGUGGAGGAAGAGGUUUCUCAUACACAGGUGUAGGUGGAGGGAGAGGUUUAUGGUAAACAGGCACAGGCGGAGGAAGAGGUUUCUCGUAGACAGGUGUAGGUGGAGGAAGAGGUUUCUCAUAAACAGGUGUAGGAGGAGGGAUAGGUUUUUCAUAGAUAGGCACAGGUGGAGGACAAGGUUUCUUGUAGAUAGGAAUAUGAGGAAAGGGAGGUUUGUAAAUAGGAAUAUGAGAAAAUGGAGGUUUCUUGUAGAUAGGAACAGGAGGAAAAAGAGGGUGUUUAUGGAAAAUCUUUGGUGGAAAUGUUGGAAAAACUUUAGGGGGAAAUUGAGGUAAAUCAGGAUGAGGAAGCUUAGGAAAAAGAGGAUGUUUGAAGAGAGGCCAAAAGAAUUUGGAG